CUCCGGUAGCCGGACAGCCGGUCAGCGCUGCGAGGACUCUGGCGGGCUGGGAGGUGCCGCCCUCCCGUACGGGACUUCCUGUCGGCCAUGUUGGCCAGGCGGUGCGCUGCAGGGUGCGGUCGGCUGGUGCCGGACUUCGUGCCGGCCAUGUUGGGCCCCUCGGCGUGCUGUGGCGCGUCGUCUGCGGGAGGCCUCCGAGCGGCCGUUCCGGGCCGCCGGUGUGCUGCGGGCCGCAGCUCCCCCGCCUUGCGUGGCAGCAGCCCCUGGGAGCGGUUGGAUGGCGGGGCUGGGCAGGAGCUGCUGGGAAGGCCCUACCAGUGGCUCGUGAAGAAGACAUCUUUGACUACAUCCACUGGAAGCACCUAGAGCCAAAGGACUGGAAGUAAAGGAAACACUUUUCUGAGACAAUACCAAACAGCAUGGUGGAUGUGCGUCUAACGCUAAUAUAGCGUUGCAGGAGGCAGCUGAGAGUAGUCGAUAGCCCAGUGCUCCGGACAUGCCAAGGCAGAAGGAGGAGGACCAGCUACUGAGCUUCCGCAGAGAGUGGAGAAAGAGGAGGAGAAUCCUGAUGGGAGAUUGUAUGCUGUCUAAAUAUUCCUGAGGCUUUGCCUUGUGAUGCUUUUCUCCUGGUAGGCUGAAAAACCUACCUUCUUCCCCUUAAGAUAUUCCCCACCUUUUAUGAUGUUACCUUUUCUGUUUUGAGACCUGAUAUUUGCUUGCUUAGAGGAUUUACCUUGAUUCUGAUAUUGGGUUGAUCCUUUUCAUUCUGAACCAUUCUUUUCUUCUGCCCUUUCUUUAGUUGGGGGAAUGUCUUCCAAGCUGACUGCAGGCUUCUGGUGCAGAAAAGGAACAGUAUAGCUGUAGAUACUGGGUAUAGAUAUAGAUAUUGGAUGUAGAUGUGCUUGUUUGGAGAAAACUAAAGUUUCUAUAUCUAGAGAAAAGAGCCAACCUAUUUUUCUUUUCCCUCCCUCUUCUGAUAUUCUCAAAUAUUCAGAGAUCCAUUUCUGCAUAAGCUUUUAGGACAAGCCUUGAUCUAAAAACCUCAGGUGAUGGAGAAUAAGCAAGAUCUUUGAUUUUAGGAAUUAUUUUCCAAAAAUACACCUGAUGAAAAUAGAUAAAAUUGUCUAAUGUAGGCUUUUAACAGACAACUCUGUGAAAACAGCCUCUGAAAACAUAUCACAGAAUGCAAGAUUGCACCUCUUCUCUUGGUUAAACAGUCUUCUGGUGAAGAGAUCAAGCUUUCGAUUUGCUGUAGGCAUUCUUCCCCCUCAGAGCUUCAGAUUGCUCUGCAAGCAUUCCCCUCUGAUCUGUUUUUCAUUCUCUGUAUCCUUCAAGUACAGACACCAUAAUGAAACACUUGUUACAGUUGGCUGUGUCCUGAGUUACUCAUAAAGAAGGAAUGUCAUUUCCUGCCUCUAUCUCCCCUGCCCAUUUUUCUGUUAUUUCUCCCAGAGGCAUGCUGAAGCUCAUGCUGAAACUGCUCUUCUGUCCUUAAUUCUAAAUCCUUUCAAUAUGGCAAUGUGCUGAUGUGACCCUGGCUCUCCUGUUGUGUGUGACCCAUGCUCUCUGUUCCUAGGUGUGCUCUAGUACUUUCAGUAGCAGGGUUCAACAUUUUAUUCAACUUACCAUUCCCCAGAAGCCCAGCCUGAUGAACUCAUACAUUUCUGCCUUCCUGUGGAGUCACUUUGCCUUUUCAUUGGCAAACCUGACAACUCUGAUUUUACAGCUCCUGUUUAGUCCUUUUGAAAGGUAAUGAGUAUUUUGGACUUGAGAGCAGAUCUCAGCAAGAUUGCAUUACUAGUUGUAUUUGGGAUACCAGUUCUGUUAGGUAGCUUUUAAAAAGUUAUCCACUAGUUAGUUUUAAUUCACUUAGAGCAUCAGUAUGACACGUAUUGCCGUAUUUUAUUUGAAUACAACCUGGGAGUAAGGCAAAUGCAUUACAGAACUGCAGGCUUGAAUAGGAAAUCCAAAUAUUAUCAUUAAUUAUGGAACCAUUCUUUGGUUUGCUAACAAUUAGGUCCUUUAUCAGCCUUUAUCAGCAGAGGGAGCUUUGCACCUGUAGUAUGAUCAGACUACUCAACAUGUGUUGACUUGACUCAUCAAACAAAUACUGAUGCAAAAUUAUUUUUAUUCUUCUCCCUCCUGGCCCUACAGAGCUACCACAUUUUUACUUGUUCUUAAUGAAUUAACAUGUAUUACUCUCAGUAAUACAGGCUCGAGGUUAAUGCUCUUCAUCAUUUCCCCUUAUCUUCCUCUGUAUUUCCUAGCGGGAGAUUAGACGUAUUUGCCAUGAAUGUUCACCAUUACUAAUGCAUGCAGUGGUACGUAGCACAACAAAAAGUUACUCUGGUAGUGCCUGGGGUCUUCCAGGACCUCCUAGUAAACAGCUGCAUUCAGUGUUGUUUGCCAUUUAUUCAUACUGAAGACAAAGUGAGAAUCCCAUCACUUGUGCAUAGUCCUAUUUGAUUCUUUGCUGUCACGUAAGUAGCACCAAAACACAACAGCAGGAGCUUUCCGUGUUAGCAAAUGGUCCCUGGCCGGCACCUCGAAUCACACUGAUGCAGUCUCCAUGAGCCUCAACAGCUAGCACAGAAGACUGUUGUGUCCUGGGGCUUGAGGCAGAACGUGCUGCCUUGCAGGGUUUGUCCAGAGCACGCGCUGAACUCUUCUGGGAGGAAGAAAAAGCAGUUGGUCAGAUAUUGAAAAAAAGCAGAACUAUAUGAAUGCAUGAUACACUUUUUUUUCCCACUCCCACACAAUAAAUUAGCCCUCUCCAGGGCUGCUUUGAGCA
ensembl:lncRNA